rnacentral:rRNA from 1 species
GAGCAAAGCGUACUUUAGUUCAGACCCCCGAAACUAAGUGAGCUACCCCGGGACAGCCUAUUAAUUAGGGCCAACCCGUCUCUGUGGCAAAAGAGUGGGAAGAUCCCGGGGUAGAGGUGACAGACCUACCGAACUUAGUUAUAGCUGGUUGCCUAAGAAAUGGAUAGAAGUUCAGCCUCACACUCCUUAACUCACAACUACCAACUAAAUAUGAGCCAAAGAAACAUGUGAGAGUUAGUCAAAGGGGGUACAGCCCCUUUGAAACAGGACACAACCUCAACCAGGAGGUUAAAGAUUAUAUUAAACAAGAUACCCGCUCCAGUGGGCCUAAAAGCAGCCACCUGAAUAGAAAGCGUUAAAGCUCCUGCGGACUAAAAUCUACUAUCCAAAUAUUUAAUCUAAAACCCCUAACAAUAUUAGGCCCCUCCAUGCCACCAUGGAAGAGAUACUGCUAAAAUGAGUAAUAAGAGGGGAAACCCCCUCUCCUCGGCCUACGUGUAUGCUA